CCCCUCACACACACACACACGGAAAAUGCCGAUUGGAAACAAACCGUAGUGUAUUCAGAGUGAAUACCGCAGCGUAUGAGGGUAAGGAAUGCCGUCCCCGCAGGACAAAGGGACGUCUGUUGCUCCGGCCGCUCUUUGUAUCUUUGGACAGUUUCGUAAGGCCUUUUUUCUACCCAGUAGGACUCGGAGCCGUGGCGGACCUCCAGACCGCUUCCAACCACCUCCAGACCGCUCCAACCAUCUCAGACUCCAGGCCGUCGUACCACAGAGGACUCGCGACCACGAGAGACGGUCCAACCGCGCUCCCCCCGGAGCCAGCAAUGAAGCCCGGAAUCCUCCAGUGCGACGUCUCUGGCUCGCGACGCGGCGGCAUUGUGGGAUCACUCCACCAUGUUGGAAACAUGAAGGUGUUUCGCUCCUGUCUCAGUCUGCAGAAGCGUGUCACCGGCGGCGUUACAAUAAACAUCCAACUCGUGUUCCACCUCGCCAGCCGGCAGCGUCCCUCAGCGGUUCCCUUCUUCUUCUUCACCCCCAUACGGGGCAACCAUAUCCUAAACUUUGUAUUUUUCACUUAAACCCUAAUAACAAAAAUGUCUCUUACUUUUUUCCAUCUAAACGAAGGCUUCUACGGGAUUGUAAAAA